rnacentral:rRNA from 1 species
AGAAUCAACGCUGGCGGCGUGCCUAACACAUGCAAGUCGAACGAGAAAGUGGGAGCAAUCCCAUGAGUAAAGUGGCGCACGGGUGAGUAACACGUGACUAACCUACCCUUGAGUGGGGGAUAACCUAGGGAAACCUGGGCUAAUACCGCAUAAUACCUACGGGUCAAAGGAGCAAUUCGCUUUAGGAGGGGUCGCGGCAGAUUAGUUAGUUGGCGGGGUAAUGGCCUACCAAGACGAUGAUCAGUA